CAUGAUGAUUUAUAAGCAACCCAUUGUACUUUAAUACCUGACCAUCUGAAUUUCUAACUCAGUGACAGAAGACUACUGGGUGCAGUCAAGUACUUAUCAAGUCGAUGUGUGAGUCAAGAUAGAAUUGAUCCCUCUAAAUCAGUAGGAGAUAUGCAUUAGUGUAUUUCAAUUCAGUAAAAUUUUGGCCAGAAUAAUCCAUAAGAUGGAUUUGAAAGGUUGAGAUACAAUAUGGUCGACUAAAUUAGGAUUGACAGUUAAACCCUAGGUCGUCUUAAGUAUUUGGGUCAAAGUGAUGAAUUAUACG
rnacentral:lncRNA from 1 species